rnacentral:tRNA from 1 species
GAGGGUAUAGCUCGGCGGUAGAGUGCAUGCUUAGCAUGCACGAGGUCCUGGGUUCAAUCUCCAGUAGCUUCA